rnacentral:rRNA from 1 species
UGCAUCGAUGAAGAACGCAGCGAAAUGCGAUACGUAAUGUGAAUUGCAGAAUUCAGUGAAUCAUCGAGUCUUUGAACGCACAUUGCACUCUUUGGUAUUCCGAAGAGUAUGUCUGUUUGAGUGUCAUGAAACUCUCAACCCCCUCAUUUUGUAAUGAAGUGAGCGCGGGCUUGGAUUAUGGCUACUGUCGGCGUAAAGUCGGCUUAGCUGAAAUACACGAGCUACCCACUUUGAAACAAGACGGUUUGACUCGGCGUAAUAACUAUUUCGCUGAGGACGUCUAAUUCAAUAUAUAAGCGGUGCUUCUAAUGCAAUCAUUUAAACUUUAGACCUCAAAUCAGUCAGGGCUACCCGCUGAACUUAAGCAUAUCAAUAAGCGGAGGA